UACGUAGGUGACAAGCGUUGUCCGGAUUUACUGGGCGUAAAGAGCGCGCAGGCGGUCGUUCAAGUCGAGUGUGAAAGCCCCCGGCUCAACUGGGGAGGGUCAUUCGAUACUGAUCGACUCGAAGGCAGGAGAGGGUAGUGGAAUUCCCGGUGUAGUGGUGAAAUGCGUAGAUAUCGGGAGGAACACCAGUGGCGAAGGCGA
rnacentral:rRNA from 1 species